CCAAAUAUAGGGACAUUUAGAAUGGUUGCUAAGAGUUGAAUUCCUAAAUAAGUUCUUAUGGCAUACAGUAUGUGGCCAUAAAUGGUGGUUUGGCAAAUAUAUUUGUACAAGUUAGAAACUAUAUAUUGGACAUUUCAAUAUUUGAGCUUUUAUUUUACCUUUUUUACUCAUCAAGAUAUCAAUACCUUUUUUUUUACUCAUCAAGAUAUCAAUACCUAGAC
rnacentral:lncRNA from 1 species